UACGUAGGUGGCAAGCGUUGUCCGGAAUUAUUGGGCGUAAAGCGCGCGCAGGCGGCCUCUUAAGUCUGAUGUGAAAGCCCCCGGCUCAACCGGGGAGGGCCAUUGGAGACUGGGAGGCUUGAGUAUAGGAGAGAAGAGUGGAAUUCCACGUGUAGCGGUGAAAUGGCGUAGAGAUGUGGAGGAACACCAGUGGCGGAAGG
rnacentral:rRNA from 1 species